CCCCAUCCAUCCACUUCCCGUUGUACACACAGAUAAAAAGCUGUAGACAUUUCUGAGAGUAUUAUUACAUCUCUUUCCACAAAUCAUCAAUGGCUGUCCCAUGUUUCUGUACCAUGGAGUCAAUUGAAGACUACGUUGUGAUCAACCAGCAGGAGUCUACUACAACUGCUCCUAAUAGUAAAUUUACUGCCCUGUUUGUAUCCAAUGGUCAGAGCAACCUUGUCCUGAGGACUAAUGAUUGCUGCACUGAGUGUAACUGGAGGGACUUCCCCAAUCAUGAUGGAGAUGACCACUCUAACAGGGCACACAGCAUCUUUCUGAAUAUACAUGAGAAGAUUCAAGAGAAUCGAGCGGCUGUACCCCCUCCAGCACCUCGAGUUACUAAGCUUGAUCUCACAGGGUACAAAUACCAACUGGCAUCCACUUCUGAUGACACAUUCCACAGUUUCUACUUUCUAAGGAUACAUGCUGGAGACAAUUUCUACCUAUAUGUGAAAGUUGGUGUUACGAAGCAAGAGUAUACACCAGCUAAAUUGCUCAGACUCUCAAGCAAAAUAGACAGAGUCACAUGCGAUUAAACAACGCAUUAAACAACGCAUUAUUAAACUUAUUCAUUAUCUUAUUUUCUCAAUAGUGUAUUAAUUUGUGAUUAUGUAUGCUGUUUAAAUGAACCGACUUGCUAAGCACUUACAGCAAGGGAAAUUCCCCACAUGUAAUCCAGCCCUGCCCACCAAAUGAGCGAUGACUCGACAAAUAACUAGCUACAUAGUUGCAGUAAUGCAGUAAUGAGCACUCCAUGCUUGUGUUCCCUAGAGGCUACCCUAAAGGACUAUGUCGUCAUAAGUGACUCCAGGAGCCAGCACACUCCACCAGAAGACAUGGCUACCCCAAAGUCUCCAGGGAUGUUCAAACUAGCACUCAUGCACGUAUCCCACUUUGUCCUGAGGAGAGACGAUUGCUGCAUACAAGACGGAUGGACUGAUUAUCCCGAUGACAGCGAUCCAGAUCAUUCAAUACAUGCACACCACAUUUUUCUAGAGUUGCACGAGAAGAUUCAAGAGAACCGACGUACACUACAUCCACCUGUCACAACACUCGACCUCAAGGGGUACAAGUACACAAUGAGAUCUCAUGGGCAGUACACAGGAUAUUACUAUCUACGGAUACACGCUGGAGACAAUUUUUAUCUCUAUGUGAAAGUUGGUCUGACAAAUGAUAACUAUGCUCGUAUUAAACUGUUGAGACUAGCCAGUACUGAAGAAAAAGUCACUUCAAAGUAAUCACCAAUGUCACUUUUUGUUAAUUCUUUCACUAUUUUGUCAACCAGCAAAAAAUAAUACUAAUCACAUGAUAAUUAA